rnacentral:lncRNA from 1 species
UCUUGGAUGUCAUUUACACAAUGCAAAAUGUAUAACAAAAAAGGAAAUUAUUAUAAUAGAGUAUAUAGAAUGAGUAUACUAGGAAAAGUUACAGCUGCUGAAUUUAUUUUAAAUACAGCAUAGCUGAAUUUAUUUUUAUGUGUUUAAAAACAGUUGAUUUAACAUCUAGACUAUCUGAUUAGGAAGUUAUAUAGUGCUGCUGUUCUAGCACUUUUAAAUAUUAAACUUUCUUGGACAAGUGUAGGCCUCCUACAGAAUCUACUUUAUUCUAACAAAGAUUGUGUAUUCCUUUUGUGUACUUGAUUCCUCAUUUAAUGUCAGUCCAAAGAGAAAUUUCUUUAAUAAAGUUUGAGAUCAGAAUGAAUGAAACUAAUUUUGAGGGAUUGUGGUAAAGAUCCUUAUGUAAUGCUAACAAAUGUAUUUUAAUUAACAUAGGUCUGAAGCUCCUCUCCACCCCCUACCCAAAGCCCUUUUUGAUCUGCUAGCUUAAUGCUUUCACCCAGAUUGAGACUGAUUUUUAUUCUGUGGGGAAAACCUCAAGGGAGAAAGUAACCAGUUAUGCUGAUGAGCAGUAGGUGGCACUCUUUGCUCAAGUAGUCCCCACUGUUUAUCAUGCCAUGUUGAAAGGUUAAAUGCCACUAAAUCCUGAGCCAGCCAUAAAACUAAGGACCUGAAUUCCAUGAUUCUAUUUAAUAUGUAAUUAUUCAACAUUCAGUAAAUAUUUAGUAAGCAUUUACUCUUGAGUACAUUU